CCUACGGGGGGCUGCAGUGGGGAAUCUUGCGCAAUGGGCGAAAGCCUGACGCGGCCAUGCCGCGUGAAUGAUGAAGGUCUUAGGAUUGUAAAAUUCUUUCACCGGGGACGAUAAUGACGGUACCCGGAGAAGAAGCCCCGGCUAACUUCGUGCCAGCAGCCGCGGUAAUACGAAGGGGGCUAGCGUUGCUCGGAAUUACUGGGCUUAAAGGGAGCGUAGGCGGACAUUUAAGUCAGGGGUGAAAUCCCGGGGCUAAACCUCGGAAUUGCAUUUGAUAAUGGGUGUCUUGAGUAGGAGAGGGGUGUUUGGAACGUCGAGUGUAGAGGUGAAAUUCGUAGAUAUUCGGAAGAAAACCAGUGGCGAAAGCGACAGACUGGCUCAUUACUGACGCUGAGGAUCGAAAGCGUGGGGAGCAAACAGGAUUAGAUACACGAGUAGUC
rnacentral:rRNA from 1 species